UACGGGGGGGGGCAAGCGUUGUUCGGAAUUACUGGGCGUAAAGGGCUCGUAGGCGGCCAACUAAGUCGGACGUGAAAUCCCUCGGCUCAACCGGGGAACUGCGUCCGAUACUGGAUGGCUUGAGUUCGGGAGAGGGAUGCGGAAUUCCAGGUGUAGCGGUGAAAUGCGUAGAUAUCUGGAGGAAUACCGGUGGCGAAGGCGGCAUCCUGGACCGACACUGACGCUGAGGAGCGAAAGCCAGGGGAGCAAACGGG
rnacentral:rRNA from 1 species